CAUAUGGUUAUAUAAUUUAGAAUUGUAUGUGUAUGUAUAUUAGAUUAACUUUAAAAAUUAAAAAUUUUUAAUAAUCAUGUCCUCAACUUCUUAUGUGAAUCAUAAGAAUUGUGAUUGGCCUUUGACCUGUUUUUGGCUUCAGCCAAAGGAGGAAAUGAGAAAAGGAAUCUACUCAUGGACAGAACCUAGUAUGUCCCCACAUUUAAGGCUUACCUCAGCUAGUUUCAUUUUUACAGAGUAAGGGUAAAAUCAAAGACUGCUAUUAUAUUGCAUCCUACUUUACUAGCUUAACAAGGAAGGUAAAAGAUAAGAUUAUUCUAAAACCUAAGUUGAUCAACACUUGCUUCCCCGCUGGAGAUGAGCAGAGCUUCCUAAUGUGGAGGGACACAUUGGAAGUGAUGACAUUGGUAAGGGCUGCUAUUGGCUGGGAGGCAACAUACCCCAGGACCCUUGCCACCCUAGCUCUGCCUAAUACGUUAAUUGACACAAAGUUAGUUUAACCUGCUUUCACCCCUUGCAUAUAUAUAUGGCAACUGAUGUUUUUAAAAAAAUUUUCAAAUGUGGGGGACACCUGGGUGGCUCAGUGGCUAAGCCUUUGCCUUUGGCUCAGGUCGUGAUCCCAGAAUCCUGGGAUUGAGUCCCACAUUGGGCUCCCCACAGGGAGCCUGCUUCUCCCUCUGUCUGUGUCUCUGUGUCUCUCAUGAAUAAAUAAAUUAAAUAUUUAAAUUUUUUUUUAAAAAUUUCAAAUGUAAGCCUAUUAGUAAUAGAUGUAACACUAUUAAAUUGAAAAAUAUUAGAUAUAUGCCCCUUAAUAUUGGCUGUGGAAUAAAAUGAAUAGGAGCCUGAGAAGAUUUACACUGUGGUCCUGUCUUUACUAGUAAAUAGGGUUAAUCCUUGGAAAUGCAAAUCCAUCAUUUGUUGAGCUUAAUGUCUUUUUCUGUAAAGUUAGGAGGUUAAACAUAUAAUUAAAUUAACACUAAUAUUCUAAUAUACUGUGUACACAGUGUUAUUUGAAGCUUUGGGCAAUCCUAUGGCUCAAGAUCAAAUGCUCUCUAAGGUUUUUUCAAGUUUAAAACUGGUACUUAUAGCAAAUAAGUUGCAGUUCAUUUUUCUAUCACUUUCCUUCAACAAACAUAUUCAUCAUCACCUUUUUCAAAAACCUUGCUACAGAGCAGACACAUACUCUGCUGUGAACUGUUAUGUGAAUGGUAAUGAACUCCUUGAAUUACCACCUUUCCACUUAAAAUGAGACACCUCCUACCUUAUCACAGCCAUGUGUGUAAAUAUCCACGAACAGAGAAAUCAGCAAACACGUCGAGAAAAGUUCUGGUCUAUAAAAAACAAAGCAAGUAGGCAAAGAAAGAGAAUGUGAAAUCAGGCUAUUUAUUCUUGAAAUCUAUAGGAUAUUCAACUAAUUUGGAUGGAUAAGAUUUAUCUUGUUCACUAAAUCAGCAAAAUGCAAAGGGCUUCACAUUUGAUUUUUAAAAAUAGAUGUCCUUUUUAGGUUUUCCUGUUGCUGGGGAAGUGUUCUUUCUGUUGCUAACAGAGCUAAAUGUUCUGCUUUGAAUGGGAAAUGUUUGUUUUUAUUGGGAGGAGUAGCAGAAGGAUGAAUGAAGGAAUCCAUUUUUUUUUUUAAACUGUGUUUCUGUAAGUGAGAUGUCUGCCUUCUGGGUAAAGGCAUAUGAUUGGUUAUUUACCAGAGAAUCCUUUAAUAGGAUCAUGAAAUUUGUCUAUUUGUUUACAUGUUAUUUUAUUCACUAAAGCUUAAAUGGGUUAACUAUUCAAAUUGUAAAGAUCACAGGGCUGUAGAAUUAAUAUUGAAACAUUUAUUACCUCUGAACCCUCAGUGGUUAGAAGGUACAAAGAAGAAAUUUAUCAUUUUUACAUUUUUUGCCUGGUAUAAUUUAGCUUCCAAAAAAGGGGUAAGGGAAGAAAUAGAUGAGAUCUGGCUUUCUCUUCAAAUCUUAGGAUCAUAUAAUUAAAAUACCAACCAUCUUGCUCUUCACCUUUAUAUAUUAUUGUUUGCACUCUUUGGGGCAGGAAACUAGUGGAGGAAAUAUCACAGGCAAGCAAAUAUGUAUAAAAUAUUACCUUAGUAUAUACAGUGCUUAAAGCUGCAUGGAAAAAAAAUGGCCAUUCUGGCUAUCCUCAGCUUAAGAAUUAUAGAAUUAUUUUUAAUGUAAUUUUGUUAACCCAAAAUUAAGUUCUAUAUUAUCAGUAUCUUAAUUGUGUUGUAAUACUCUGUGAAAGACUGUUGAUUUCCUAAACAAGAGCUUUUACUUUGUUUCAGCUGUGUCUGAUUAAUUCAUCAAAUGUAUUCUUCAUGCCAGAAAUUUUGGUUUCACUGAAACUCUAUGAUGUGAAAAUGUAAUUGAGUUUCUGUCUUCCAAAUUUUAUUUUUGUCUUUAGAAGCAAGUUGUUAAUCUAUGAACCAUUAGCUUUUGAGAAAGGGAAUAUUUCAUAAUAUCUCUCUAAAUCAUUCUAUGGCUGUAUUGACCUACUCAUUUCAUUUUCCUCUGGGCAUUGAGAAAGAUUACAAAUCCUGCCUAUGUAGGUGGGGUCAUGUAACUAGCUCAGGUCAAUGGAAUGUGGCAAUCCUCCUCUUUCUCCACUUUCGGAGGUGCCCUUGGGUGCUGUUUGAGAUAACAAACACUUGAGAUGGAAGGAACCAUACAAGAGAACCCAUCUACUAGAUCAAAAAAGAAAAAGAUGUUUGGACUUUGCAUGACUGACAAGUUCUUUUACAGUUGUGGGUUGUUGUUGCCACACCUAGCAAUACAUAUCCCAAAUAAAACACUUUGUAACUACUUACUGAUAGUAGAAAGUAUGUAACCGAAGAAAUUCUCUCUCUCUUCUGCCCCUCUGCUUCCAGAAUGCAGGGACUGUUUUAAGUGUUGGUACUUAAGUCAAUCCUUAAUAGUUACACCAGAUUUUAGGGAGGACUACUUCAUCAAAUCAUGACCUGGGAAUUACAGAUUGAAUGGCCACACACAUACAUACACACGCACACAGAUUUCUGGGAGAGAGGUGCAAAGGCUGAAGACUGAAGACUCUGCCCCAUCUUUCUGGUCUACUCAGAAAAGAAAACCAUGAAAGUUCAUGGAAGAGGAAAAAGAGUGAAUAAGAGACAGGCAUGAACCAGAAUGAAGGACAAGCUGCUCUUAAAGAACGGAGUCUUUCCAGGGAGUUCUAGUAGCCAUUAUCCAAGGAUGUGGAGAAUUGGGAACUAGGAGGUAAUAAAGCCAGCUGUUUGACUCAGGAAUUGCAUCAAAGAAUGACUGGUUGAUUGGACUAUGGGGCAAGUUUUGCCUGGAGAUGUCUUCAGGCACUCACUCCUCACCCUGAUGGAAAGAGUCUCCCACACUGUAAAUUCACUCGGGAACAGAGGGACUAAUUGUUACUACACAGCGCCUCUGUGCCAGGCUAAUCUCUAGUUGCUAACGAAUCCUCAUGAUCACAGGCUCUCUCUGAGCUUUCUGGAACUGAAAGGGAUGACCUGUGAUCUGUAAGCACCAGUUAGAACAAACCACAAGGCACAAAUUGUGUACUAACUUCAACAGCAGGCCCAUUUUGCUGAAGUACGCGGACAUUUAGAAGAUAAGACCAGAGUUGAUUUGCAAAGUCCCAUUUUUGAUGGUGCAGAUGGCAAAUACUCUGCCUCCCUUGCCACAGAAGUGGCCAUGGAACUUGCACUUAAUUGAUUUGAGUAGCAGUGAUUAGUGAAUUUACAAGCAACAAAAGCAGAGAUAGAGUCCCUUUCUGGCUUUGAUACUAUGAAUCCUCAGGAUUGGUGUUUUUCCUGGGGUUACUAAGCAAAAUCUGCUGGUAGGUAUGUUCUCUACCACAUAAAGAAGGUGUUUCUGCAGAGCAAGAGAAAAUGAGAUUACUUUGUCAAGAGAAGCAGAGGCAAGCAGAGAUGAUCAGCAGAAAUAAUAUGUUCUGGUGAUGUCAAAUUUCCAGAUCCAGUUCUUCCUAUAGGCAUUACUUUCUACAGCCAUUUCAUUUAUGUGAAUUAUCAAUAUCUUCCUAGAUACAUGUACCGAUACGUUUAUCUUUACUUUAAGAUAAUAUAAACUGAUUUUCUCUUUACUUGUAA